rnacentral:snRNA from 1 species
GUGCUCGCUUCGGCAGCACAUAUACUAAAAUUGGAAAGAUACAGAGAAGAUUAGCUUGGCCCCUGUGAAAUUAAAAAAAAAAAAAUCCUAAUACUGU